GCCUGGAUGGUCUAGUGGUAUGAUUCUCGCUUUGGGUUAAACAUCUUAAAUGCGAGAGGCCCUGGGUUCGACUCCCAGUUCAGGCC